ACGGGAGGCAGCAGUGGGGAAUAUUGCACAAUGGGGGAAACCCUGAUGCAGCGACGCCGCGUGAAGGAAGAAGUAUCUCGGUAUGUAAACUUCUAUCAGCAGGGAAGAUAAUGACGGUACCUGGAGAAAAAGCAACGGCUAACUACGUGCCAGCAGCCGCGGUAAUACGUAGGUUGCAAGCGUUGUCCGGAUUUACUGGGUGUAAAGGGCGUGUAGGCGGAGCUGCAAGUCAGAUGUGAAAUCCCGGGGCUCAACCCCGGAACUGCAUUUGAAACUGUAGCCCUUGAGUAUCGGAGAGGCAAGCGGAAUUCCUAGUGUAGCGGUGAAAUGCGUAGAUGUUAGGAGGAACACCAGUGGCGAAGGCGGCUUGCUGGACGACAACUGACGCUGAGGCGCGAAAGCGUGGGGAGCAAACAGGAUUAUAUACCCUGGUA
rnacentral:rRNA from 1 species